rnacentral:rRNA from 1 species
CCUACGGGAGGCUGCAGUGGGGGAUAUUGGACAAUGGGGGAAACCCUGAUCCAGCGACGCCGCGUGAGUGAAGAAGUAUUUCGGUAUGUAAAGUUCUGUCAGUAGGGACGAAACUUGACGGUACCUACAGAGGAAGCACCGGCUAACUCCGUGCCAGCAGCCGCGGUAAUACGGAGGGUGCAAGCGUUGUCCGGAAUCAUUGGGCGUAAAGGGUUCGUAGGUGGCUUAUUAAGUCUGGUGUUAAAUGCAGAAGCUCAACUUCUGUUCGGCACGGGAUACUGGUAAGCUUGAGUGCGGUAGAGGUAAAGGGAAUGCGUGGUGUAGCGGUGAAAUGCGUAGAUAUCAGGAGGAACAUCGGUGGCGUAGGCACUUUACUGGGCCGUAAUUGACACUGAGGAACGAAAGCCGGGGUAGCAAAUGGGAUUAGAUACCCGUGUAGUC